rnacentral:lncRNA from 1 species
CCACCGCCAGCCUCCAGUCCCCAAGGAGCACACGCAGCUUCCUCCUGUUUGGACACAGCUGGCGAGGGCCUUUUGCAAACGGUGGUACUGUCCUGAUCGUCUAGCCCCUCUCGUUCCCCGUCCUCGUUUCCAGCAUCUUUGCCACCCUUGCUUUUUUCCUUCUUCCUUCCUUUUCCAUUUUCCUCUGGCCCCUCUUUCCUCUUCCUGGUUUCCUUACCUGCCCUCCCCUUACUCUUGUUUCUCCUCCGCCGAGGCACUGUGCGGUAUUUGUAAAUAUUGGGCGAGGAAAGUCUCGGAAGAAGAAAUAACGCUGAUAAUAAUACUUUAUUAAUAUUUAUAGUAAUUAUUAUAAUACUAAUAACACAAUCCAAGCGCAUGACAAAUCACAUAAUUUCUAACUGUCAAUGGAGGAUGCAUCUUCCCAUUCCACCCCGCGCUCCCCUCAAUUAGGAGGAGAAACCGCACAAGCUACCAAAUAUAUAAAAGGCAUUGAUUCCCGGAGCAAAGGGAGGGGAGGGGGCCCGGUAAUGUACAUAGCUGUCAAGUUAAGAUUUAGUUUCCUUCCUUCCCCUCUGACCCCUAAGCUUUCACUUUUCCUUUAGCUUCCCUUUCCUCCCCAUUCCCACCCUCAGCCGGGCUCAGGCAAUAGUAUAUUAUAAAGAAAAUGUCUACAUUAAGCACCAGGACUGCAAGAGGCCAUAGAGAAUAGUCCCCGGAAAGUGUUUAUGACAGGUACCCCUCGCCAGUCCGCCCAUUUCUCACCCUUUGGUUAACCAUUACAUUUUCCAGGACAGAGCAUUUAAUUUACUUUUUAAAAUGACCCUCGCUGGCCGAGCAUAAGUACGUUAAAAUCUUUAAAUGAGUUUUUUUUAAAAAGCUAACGCUUUCAUUCCCUGCCCCGCCCCCACCCGUACACCUUUGACUUGUGACAUUUUCAGGAUUUACAAAGGAUCUGGGAGCUGUCCAGCCAGGUCUGGUGCUGAAGUCGCCUCACCGUUCUGAUUACUUCCUCUAGUUGUGAAGGCAGAGGAGGGGCUGUUUUGGAAAGUGACUAUUCUGGCUUUUGGUUGGGUUCUUUCUUCUUUUUCUACAAUCGAGUUAGCGUGUACUAUUGGUUUUCUUAUUAUUAAACAUUGCAUAAGUUACCUUUUUUGUAAAAAAAAAAAAGUAUUAGGUGAUGUGCAGUACUGAAAGUGCAGUAUCUAACCAACUAGAACGUUUGUUUUAUUUUUAGAACAAGUGCACCUUUGUUAUAUAUUUAGUAUAUUGGUACCAAAUACAGAAAAAAACUAUAGUUCUGUACUAUGUCCUCCAAACUGUAUAUUAUUGUUCUUAAUUUCCAGCUGUUGAUAUAAUGGUUACCACUGGAUGAGAAAUUCAGUGGUGCAGACCUGGCUUCUGCUGUUUCCAGAAGUGUUCUUUUGUACCUUAUUCUGUAGUAGACUGUUAUAAAAAGAUGACACACACGCUUUAUUUUUUCUUUUGCAAAUAAUAGAAAAAACACAACCACAGAAACAAACAAAUAAUGGAUGUGCAAGAAUGCCAUCUAUUAAAAACAUGGUUAAUAUUUAAACAGUGCCUGUAGUUCUCCCUGCAUGCAGUUACCACCUGGAGGCAGUGGUGUGUGUGCUUGCUUGUACUGUAUGUGGUUGGGGAUGAGACUGGUGGGGAUGUUGGGCAAUUUGGAUGAUAAGACAUGCGAAUUUCAAGAAAAGCUAGAUCCAGUAAUUACUUAUAGGAUACAAAUGUUUGCAGCUUGUUUGUUUAGUUACAAAUCUGUGCCUGCAGCAAAAGAAAGGCUCUCUUUCUCAGUCUGUCCUAACUUCACUGAACAUACAAAAAUACUGAGAAAAAAAGAAAGUGAGAAAAUAAGAUAAAUAUUUUAUUAUUUUCUAAUGCCAGACAAGGCCAUCUAUGUUAGAAAUGGAAGUAGUCUAUAGUUAUUUACCACCUUGUUUCCUUUGGUUGAAUGACAGAAGAAGCCAGAAGCAUAUUACAAUAUUAAUUAUAUGCAGUGACAUCUCUUCUUGGAAAUCAAGCCUUUGACAGCUAUUCAAAUUUUUGGAAAAUGUAUGAAUGAAAGUGAUCUGCAAAAAGCUCUACCAAGAGAGUCCUUACUAUCCUGCAGGGUGUAAGGCAACAGUGCCCCUAUGAGCAUCCCUCUCCCAAGCAACUCAUUGUUCUAAAUUGUCUACUUGGUCCAGACAUAUGUGCUCUUAUCCAGAGGAAACAUUACCUCUAAUAUUUUUGGUCAUCUAUUAAAUUGCCCAAGCUCAGUUUGCAUCUUUUAUAAAAAUAAUUUAAUAAACUUAAUUUUAAUCACCCAUAAGAUAAUCACCUUUCCUGAAGCACAGAAGAUCAUCAUUGAAGCAUGCCAUCUUGUAAUAUUAGGAAGACCAGGUAUAAUCUUUGGGUACAAUAUAUUAAACAAUGAACCAGUUUUUCUCCAGUGCCUUAGUCACUUCCUAGUAAUAGGUAAAAGAGUGCAUUAACUCCCUCAGGCCACUAGGGAAUCCUGUAGUGCAUCAGAGUUCUACACUGUACAUCAGAAUGACUAAGGCACUGUGAAGAAGAAAGUCCAUUGAUUUUUGUAGCUUACCCUCAUCCAGUGGUAGCUCUUUAAUACCUUAUUACAGAAUGACUUUUGGACUUGAAAUUUGAAUAGAAUCAGGGUCCCAGAAGGGAGCUUCAUCAUUUCCAAUGAGCUCCAAUAAGUGCAUGGAUAUUACUUUCUUUCCCUUAUUUGGUGCACUUUCUACAGCGAAUAAUUUCCCAUUUUAUUAAAGCAAUAAGAUGUUCUGUUGUGAGCAGUGCUGGAUAACGAUUCCAUUUUCUUGGUGCUGAAGCUACGCAUAUGUUCUUGCCUUAUGAAUCAUAGUAUAUUCAAGGCAUGCAAUAAUAAUCCCCUUCCAAGGAGCAGCCUGUACACUCUGUGGGGGUAAUUAUGAAAUUGUCCUACAUCAUUUCUCCCCAAAGGAAUGCAAGGAGCAAGAGAAAUAAAAGCAUUAUGUAUAUUGUAAAACAAAUGAUCUCAAUACCUCUCAACGUGGGCACACAUCUGUAAUACACUUUUAUUGUGCAACUUUAAAUGUGUGUGCCUUUCUCCAUUAAUUGACUGUAGUUUAAUAUUUUUAAUAGUGCUCUGUGUAAAGAUGAUGCAGUUUGUGAGUCAGAUUUCAUACUGAGCUUAAUAUACUCAAAACCUAAGCUUCCAGUGGUAUUACUUGUGAUUUUUUUAUGAGAUAGAGAAUUACAUGAAAUUCUAGUAAUCCAGUUUCCACACAAAAUUAUUUCAAUAAGCACAUAUCCAAGCAAUUUGUACAGACCUUGUUUAAAGCACUGCUUCUUAUAGGGCUCAAUUGGCAGUCUCAGGAGCUUGGGAUGCUACCAACAGGGCAUUUAGGUUUUCAUUUUUAUGAAACAAAAGGCAAUCUGGAAAUAGCUAAAUUUAUUUUAAGGAUUUUAUUCACUGAUGUCCCGUCAAACUAAAUGCUUCAAACCCCUAUAGCUACAGCUUAACUUCUGCACUUGCUAUUCAGUAUUAAUAAGGUGGCAUGCUUGAUUCUUAUUGUUUUUAAAAAUGAGAAAAUUUGGAGAGAGAAUACUAUUAUGUCAACGGUACAAGACUCUGAAUCUUGAAGAUGUAGAUGGAUAUAAUAUUUAGACUUUAUAUACACCCAUAGAUAUGUAUUUAUAUAUGCAUACGUUUUGUAUAAAUUUACAAUUGACUUUUUGUAUUCUCUUUUCUGUCAUUACAAGAAUGAGAUGGAAACCAAAAUAGUUGUUCCAUCCUCUUACCCAAAGAGGAUACUGAAAAGUCCGGUAUGUGCAUGCACUUGUUUCUCUGGGGUCAAAUCUGAAUGACUUUCUCUUUAAUAAUGAAAGGGGAGAGUCCUGGUUAGCUUGGAAAAUUGGUAAUUAGAUAAGCUUCCUUUCCUAGGUUAGUGACUCAAAUGUAGCAAUGAUAAUAAAGUUAUGACCAUAUCAAUGUGGUCUAAAUAUCUAGAUGGAAAGCAAAAAUAUCCAGAAGAGGUUUAGGGCCAUCUAGACCACAAACCUGGAACCUGGAUUGUGGUUUGAUUUUUUUCAUUUUCAACCUAUAUGUUGUGUAGAAAUACAAUUUAUAUCUGCAUAGCUAAAGGUAAAGUGAAAAUAUGACCAUUAUCUGUUUAGUUUGAGAAAUCAUUUUUGGAUAAUAUGGAUAAAUUAGCUUUAAGAAACUUCUUUGACAUCUGACUUUUCCACCAUUUCUAUCUGUAUCAAUUGUAUUAAUUAGAUAAUGGUUAAAUUUUUAUUUUUUUAUCAUGUAGACAUAUGCUUUCAUGCUUUUCUGUGGGUGAAAGUUGAACAAUUGCUAGCUGAUAUUAUGUGGAAGUUACAGGUUAAAGUAGAACCAGAAAUUUUAAUAUAAUCUGAUCAGGUUCCUUAGUCCCAUUCCCAUGUGAAUCUGAACUUUGAAUUUGAAUCUGAAAGGCCUACUUAUUUGGGCCAUUUUUUGUUGGAACUUGUGAUUGUAACUCACAGAUGUUUCAGUUCAUAUUAGAAUAAAUUGCCCAAUCUAUAAGAGAGUGUUUAAUCAUUGGAAUGAAUGUAAAUCUGAUUCUGAUUUGGUUAUUUAUUUGAUAACAUUUGAGAAACAGCUAAUGUGGCUUGACAUCAAUACUUAUUAAUGUCUUCAACCUAAUAAUACAAUUGGUGUCAUGUAUGAAUGCUUAGCUGACAAUAAGAAUUUAAUCAACUUUAUUUGGAGACAAUGACUUAUCAAGGAGGUCCUACCCAUUUGUGGUAGGGAUAUUUCCCUUACAGUUGUGAUUACAAGGGAUUGUUUCUAUAGAGAGAUGAACAGCAACAACAGUGACAAUGAUGACAACAGAAAAACUGACUUUUGAACUUGAGUAUAUCCAAUAGAUAGAAGAAAAAAGAUAUUAGAAUUCAUGGAAAUUUUGUUUUGCUUUUCUAUCAAUAAAAGAGUUUUCUUGUU